AUGGAAGAGGAAGAGAAUGAUGCAGAGAAGAAUAAGAAAGAGACGACAAAAAUUAUCACUUUUAAGUACGAGCAUCUCCCUGACUUUUGUUACAACUGUGGAAUUAUUGGUCAUAGUGAGAAAGCCUGCCCCACAAAGGGUAUGAAAGGAGAAGAAAGACAAUUUGGGGCAUGGAUGCGUGCUGCAAUAUAUAAGGGCGCCUCUAGUGAAGAUGUGAGAAGCAAAAGCUCUAGUGACCGUAGUGGAUUCUGGAGAAGCAAUAGUGCUGGUAGUAAAGGUAGCGACGCUCCAUCAUGGCGCAAAAAUCUGCCUAACACAGAAGGUCACAAAAAAAUUAAUGGAGGAGAAGGAGAUGUUACCAGCCCGCUCAAAAUCGCACUAGGUGACCAAACAGAACCUACAAGGGGCAAGAAGCUAGUGUUUGAGGAGGAGGAGGAGAGGAAAUCUGAACCUUUUUCAGAAAGGGAACAUAAAGCAGGAGCGGUGUCUGAAGUGACUAAUGAAACAGCAACCCAACCAUGUCAACAUGGCGGUAGUGAAAGGACUCAUGAUGGAAAAGGCAAAAAGGUCGAGAUUGAAGAAAGAGAAGAGAGGUUGGUUCAAAAAUCUGAAACAAAGGGGAAACAAACUACUUUCAGAAGGGUGAAUAAACCAAAAGGGAAGCAACAGAGUGUACCCCUUGUUUUGGGACCCAAGAAAAGGUUUGCUGAAUACAUGGAGUUCGAUGAUGAGGGGGAAUUUUCGAAGAAGGCAAGAAUGGAGAUUGACGGAGAAGAGGAGGGACAAGUUAGAGCAAAACAAUCUGCAGAAAAACAAAUAUUAGAAUUUGGAAGCGCUGGGCUGCAGGGACAGCCCGGCGAGUCGAAAUGA
rnacentral:rRNA from 1 species